rnacentral:rRNA from 1 species
AAAAACAUAACUAUAUGAGGACAUAUAUAGCUAUUUCUGCUCAAUGACAAAUUAAAUAGCCGCAGUAAUUUGACUGUGCAAAGGUAGCAUAAUCAUUUGACUUAUAAUUGAGGUCUAGUAUGAAAGAGUAUAUGGGGGUUAACUGUAUCUUAGAUAGACCUUGAAGUUUCUUAUUGGGUGAAAAUUCCCAUAAAUAAAUAAUAGACGAGAAGACCCUAGAAAUUUUAAGGAGUAUUAAUAAUUUGUUUUUGUUGGGGCGACAUAGUAGCAGAGAACCUACUGUAAUUUUAUUAGAUUAUAAUGAUAAGAUUAACUAAAUUACUCUAGGGAUAACAGCAUAAUAUUUAAAAGUUUGUGACCUCGAUGUUGGACUAGGAAAUAAUAGCCCAGAAGGCUACUUAUCAAGCUCUGUUCGAGCUAAAUUCUCCUACGUGAUCUGA